rnacentral:rRNA from 1 species
GACGAACGCUGGCGGCGUGCUUAACACAUGCAAGUCGAACGGACAGGCCCUGCUUUUGUGGGGUGCUCGAGUGGCGAACGGGUGAGUAACACGUGAGUAACCUGCCCUUGUCUUUGGGAUAACUUCAGGAAACUGGGGCUAAUACCGGAUAGGAGCUCCUGCUGCAUGGGGUGGGUUGGAAAGUUUCGGCGGUUGGGGAUGGACUGGCGGCUUAUCAGCUUGUUGGUGGGGUAGUGGCUUACCAAGGCUUUGACGGGUAGCCGGCCUGAGAGGGUGACCGGCCACAAUGGGACUGCGAUACGGCGCAGAAGGCUACGGGAGGCAGCAGUGGGGAAUAUUGCACAAUGGGCGGAAGCCUGAUGCAGCAACGCCGCGUGCGGGAUGCCGGCCUUCGGGGUGUAAACAGAUUUCGCCUGUGACGAAGAGGGAGUGACGGUAAUGGGUAAAGAAGCACCGGCUAACUACGUG